rnacentral:tRNA from 1 species
UUUUAUUUAGUUUAGGAAAAUAAAUACUUGUCAAGUAUUAGAGGGCGGGGCCAGUUUAGU